CAGCAGCCACGGUAAUACGUAGGGUGCGAGCGCUAAUCGGAAUUACUGGGCGUAAAGCGUGCGCAGGCGGUCGUGUAAGACAGGUGUGAAAUCCCCGGGCUUAACCUGGGAACUGCGCUUGUGACUGCACAGCUAGAGUAUGGCAGAGGGGGGUGGAAUUCCACGUGUAGCAGUGAAAUGCGUAGAGAUGUGGAGGAACACCGAUGGCGAAGGCAGCCCCCUGGGCCAGUACUGACGCUCAUGCACGAAGGCGUGGGGAGCAAACAGGAUUAGAUACCCCUGUAGUCCCUGUCUCUUAUAC
rnacentral:rRNA from 1 species